rnacentral:lncRNA from 1 species
UCAGUUUGGCACCAGACAAUUGUAGGAUCUAGGUGCUCAGUUCAACAUCGGUUUGAGGGCAGGUCUGACUUUAAGAGGGUGAGAAUGUCAUGUCUCGGACCCUCCUUAUAUUUGUUCAACUCUUUACGCUUUUUUAGUCUAAACACACUUCUCUUUAUUGAUCAUAAGCACGAACUAUUGGAAUACAAGUUAGGUCCGGAGGAUUAAGGAGCCACACAUGGCGUCCUAAAGACAGUCCUAAAGCAUGUUUAGCGAGGAUAUGUGCCUCAAUAUUUGUCUCACGUCCUUCGAAGAUGAAGGAACAACAUCACUAGAAUUUCUUUGAUGAUGCUUGUGUACAUGCCACCUGUACCUUUCUGGAUACAUUGAGGCUCCUGUCUCCUGAAGCCCUGCCAAUGAGAGCAAAAGCAUAUAAGUGUUCGCUGUUUGGUCAUUCAGACCAUGGAGACUAUCUUCUUGCGAGUUAGUUUGGUUAUUUCAUCUAUAGAUAACAGUUGCAGUCUUGGCGUAUUUAAUUAACCCAGUUUCCACCACGGCUCAGGAUUCGCAGCCUAUUUCAGUCCUCAGCUCCAAAAGCUGAAAAGGUAAGCAACACAACAAUCUUAAUGCACUCCAUGUCAUAAAUUUGCCUCUGCUUAGAAAAAGGAUGCACUGCAAAACAAUUACCACCCCAAAAAACUGACACCAUUAAUGCAAAAUGAUCCAAUGAUUCCUACUGCCUGAAAAUGAUCUAUCUCCGGUCACAGCCAGUUAGAUACAUAGACAUCAUAAAAAAAUGAUUUGUGCGGUUAAUAUUGCAAAAGGUGUACUGGGUGAGAUCACUAUCGUGUUGACAUCCAAUCCAUGUGGCACAACGAUUUAGUUAUAAAAUAAUAUUUUCAUAUGGCGCAAGCCCUUCACUGUCAACUUAUUUUUGGACUAUUGACAUUAAUUACUAUGCUAGUGUUGUUCCUAACAAAAAUACAGGUCCAGAGUAUUCAAACUUCUAUCCCUGCUUGGGUGGAUAGUCUAAACAGGACAAUGUCAAUCUCAUAAAUCCAUUUCUCUAUUCACCAAAUGUUCAUUGGAGAUAACAGCUGUAGAAGGGAAACUCACAUAUCUAGGGAGCAAGUGCAGUUUACUGCCUUUGAUGAAUAUAUACUUGAACGUAAUCUAUUUUGCAGGAAGAGCACAUCUGUUCUAAAUAGGAAAUAUGCCCAUUUCAUAAGUAGUGAUGGUGUAGCACAUAUAACAUUGGUGAUAUACAACCUCAUAACUUCACAGCCUACAAGACUGGGAUGUGUAUAGACAACUAAACCAGAUAUACGUCACGAACUUAAAUUCAAUCCAAGUAAGAUGUGCAGAGAGUUUUAGGUGCACGAACUUGGCCAUCCUCAUAAUUCAUAUGAUCCCAUGUUUCAGGCGCUUUAACUUGAGACGUCUUAUCCCAGUAGUCAAGUAGAGACUUGUAUGUUACCAUGUUGGUUGUUGGCUGUAAAAAGCAAAAGCAGCUGCAUGUAGUCAAGAGUAUUAGGACAAAAUCCUUAUGAACGUGAUAUCUUGGUACUACUGAAUUUCUAUAAACAGUAACCAUAACUUGCAUCGAGUAGGCAAGUAGAGGCAUUAGAUCACCCUUGUUGUAAAGAGCGAAAGUAGGUGCAUUCAGCAACGUAUUAGGAUAAAUUAUUAUGAACAGGAUAUCGUAAUGAAUGCAUCAAUCCGUCAAUAACUUGUUACUAUCAAAAUCAUCAAUUUGAUCAGUUCAUUUUGUAACGAGGAAAAUAUAAUUGCAUGUAUAAUAAAAUGAAAAUGGUAGAAUGGGCAUGUCCAGCUCGCUAAGCCACAACAACUUAAAGUGGAAAUCAGGAAGAUAUAUCCUUCAAUAUCUGUUGUGAGGACUCGCUUCCAUGGUGGUCACAAUAAAGUAAUCUUACUGCCUUUAGCAAACAUGCAGACAUGAAGCAUGCCACGACAACUAUCAUCGGAUUCAAGGGCCACUAUUUUUACUGAAACGUGUCUAUUAUAACCAGAAGGGCCCAAAAGUUACUUAAUAGCUUGAAAAAGUAUGUGUCAUUGACAGUACUCCGUAAGCAUGCAUUUAACACGCAUAAUCAGCAAGUAUUGCAGAUUACUCAGCAAGUCAGCAUGCAUUUUAAACUUUGGGGGCGGAGAGUGGCAACCUGGUCCGGCAAGCCUCGAUGUUGUGACCUUGGGCGGUCAGCUAGGUUGUCCACUCAGGCCACCAGAUUUCAUAGUAUAAUUUGCUGCAAAUUCAUAAGCUAAACAUAAGCAGGUUUUAAGAUCCGAACAAAGAAAUAAACUCGACUCGUCAACCUGAUGAAAUAGCCACUGGUAGAAGUAGUAUUGAAUUCACCAAACCCUUGUUGUAAAGAGUGGGAGUAGGUGCAUUCAGCCUAGCGUAUUAGGACAAAAUUAUUAUGAACAGGAUAUCGCAGUGAAUGAUUUUGUAAAUAGUAACUAUGUCAUGCAUCCAUCAUACUCAAUUUCGGAAAGAACCAACGACAAGCUCUCAAAGAGUACUCACUCUGCCACCAUCAGAAGCAUAACAGAAACUAACUAUGGCAUACAACUCAGAAGCAUAACAGAAAAUAACAAAGGAGGAUAUAUGAUGAUUCCACCUUGGACAAACAGCAAUACUGGUGGUUGGGAGCUCGCCCCCAAAGCAGCCACCAUCUGGUAUACGGCGCCCGCUGUUGGAGACCACUCACCUCACUGUCCGGGAUGAGCUGAAGACGUUGCGGAGGCCGGCGCCCUCGGGGUGGGCGGAGAUGCCGAAGAGCGCCACGCUGGGGAGGGGAACCUCGCGCAGUCACCGGCGGUUGACGCGGCGGAAGGGCCGAGGGCGCCGGAGACGGCGGCGCGAGGUAGGUAGCUAGCUAGGGUUUGGAGCGAGCGAGUGGCGACGGUUAGGUCGGACCCGGAGGAUUGCGAUUCCGGUUUGGUCGCUCCCGGUCACGGGCCCACG